CCGGAGAAUGUUAUCACGGGAGACACACGGCGGGUGCUAACGUCCGUCGUGAAGAGGGAAACAACCCAGACCGCCAGCUAAGGUCCCAAAGUCAUGGUUAAGUGGGAAACGAUGUGGGAAGGCCCAGACAGCCAGGAUGUUGGCUUAGAAGCAGCCAUCAUUUAAAGAAAGCGUAAUAGCUCACUGGUCGAGUCGGCCUGCGCGGAAGAUGUAACGGGGCUAAACCAUGCACCGAAGCUGCGGCAGCGAACGUAUCACUUAAAGCGAUUCAGCGGAUGACGAUUGACGGAGCGAAGCGACGUCAAAGCGUAUACAAAGUCGAGUCGGUUUAAGGAUACGUUCGUUGGGUAGGGGAGCGUUCUGUAAGCCUGUGAAGGUGGCCUGUGAGGGUUGCUGGAGGUAUCAGAAGUGCGAAUGCUGACAUAAGUAACGAUAAAGCGGGUGAAAAGCCCGCUCGCCGGAAGACCAAGGGUUCCUGUCCAACGUUAAUCGGGGCAGGGUGAGUCGACCCCUAAGGCGAGGCCGAAAGGCGUAGUCGAUGGGAAACGGGUUAAUAUUCCCGUACUUGGUGUUACUGCGAAGGGGGGACGG
rnacentral:rRNA from 1 species